rnacentral:rRNA from 1 species
AAACUUAAAUGAAUUGACGGGGGCCCGCACAAGCAGUGGAGUAUGUGGUUUAAUUCGAAGCAACGCGAAAAACCUUACCAGGUCUUGACAUCCAACGACCGCCUAAGAGAUUAGGCUUUCCUUCGGGACGUUGAGACAGGUGGUGCAUGGUUGUCGUCAGCUCGUGUCGUGAGAUGUUGGGUUAAGUCCCGCAACGAGCGCAACCCUUAUUACUAGUUACUACGCAAGAGGACUCUAGUGAGACUGCCGUUGACAAAACGGAGGAAGGUGGGGAUGACGUCAAAUCAUCAUGCCCUUUAUGACCUGGGCUACACACGUACUACAAUGGCUAUUAACAGAGAGAAGCGAGACCGCAAGGUGGAGCAAACCUCAGAAAAAUAGUCUCAGUUCGGAUUGGGGCUGCAACCCGCCCCCAUGAAGCCGGAAUUGCUAGUAAUCGCGGAUCAGCAUGCCGCGGUGAAUACGUUCCCGGGCCUUGUACACACCGCCCGUCACACCAUGAGAGCCGGGGGACCCGAAGUCGGUAGUCUAACCGCAAGGAAGACGCCGCCGAAGGUAAAACUGGUGAUUGGGGUGAAGUCGUAACAAGGUAGCCGUAUCGGAAGGUGCGGCUGGAUCACCUCCUUUCUG